rnacentral:misc_RNA from 1 species
GCAAACUUGGUCAUUUAGAGGAAGUAAAAGUCGUAACAAGGUCUCCGUUGGUGAACCAGCGGAGGGAUCAUUACAGAGUUUUCUAAACUCCCAAACCCAUGUGAAUUUACCAUUGUUGCCUCGGCGGAACCUACCCUGUAGCGAGUUACCCUGUAACGACCUACCCGGUAGCGAACUCCGCCGGCGGACCUUUAAACUCUUGUUUAUUACAGUGAAUCUGAGCGUCUUAUUUUAAUAAGUCAAAACUUUCAACAACGGAUCUCUUGGUUCUGGCAUCGAUGAAGAACGCAGC